CCUACGGGAGGCAGCAGUAAGGAAUAUUGGACAAUGGUCGCAAGACUGAUCCAGCCAUGCCGCGUGAAGGAUGAAGGCCCUAUGGGUUGUAAACUUCUUUUGUAUGGGAAAAAACCCUUCUACGUGUAGAAGGCUGAUUGUACCAUAAGAAUAAGGAUCGGCUAACUCCGUGCCAGCAGCCGCGGUAAUACGGAGGAUCCAAGCGUUAUCCGGAUUCAUUGGGUUUAAAGGGUGCGUAGGCGGAAUGAUAAGUCAGUGGUGAAAUCCUGCAGCUUAACUGCAGAACUGCCAUUGAUACUGUCAAUCUUGAGUACAUUUGAUGUGGGCGGAAUGUGUCAUGUAGCGGUGAAAUGCUUAGAUAUGACACAGAACACCGAUUGCGAAGGCAGCUCACAAAACCUGUAACUGACGCUGAGGCACGAAAGCGUGGGUAUCGAAACAGGAUUAGAUACCCUGGUAGUCCACGCUGUAAACUAUGAUUACUCGNUGUUGUCGAUACACUAGUAGUACGUACGUAACGACGAACGACGAGUAAGUAAGUACCGUACCCGUACGGGAGGUACGUACGUCGACGAGAGUAGUAAACGUUAAAGGUUAAAGUUAGUUACGGACGUUAGAGACGACGACGGACGACGACGACGGAGGGAGGAGG
rnacentral:rRNA from 1 species